rnacentral:rRNA from 1 species
UACGGGGGGAGCAAGCGUUGUUCGGAUUUACUGGGCGUAAAGGGCGCGUAGGCGGUCAGCACAAGUCAGUUGUGAAAUCUCCGGGCUUAACUCGGAAAGGUCAACUGAUACUGUGCGACUAGAGUGCGGAAGGGGCAACUGGAAUUCUCGGUGUAGCGGUGAAAUGCGUAGAGAUGUGGAGGAACACCAGUGGCGAAGGCGACUUUCUGGCCUAUAACUGACGCUGAGGCGCGAAAGCGUGGGGAGCAAACAGG